rnacentral:rRNA from 1 species
GAUGAACGCUAGCGGGAGGCCUAACACAUGCAAGCCGAGCGGUAUUGUUUCUUCGGAAAUGAGAGAGCGGCGUACGGGUGCGUAACACGUGUGCAACCUGCCUUUAUCUGGGGGAUAGCCUUUCGAAAGGAAGAUUAAUACUCCAUAAUAUAUUGAACGGCAUCGUUUAAUAUUGAAAGCUCCGGCGGAUAGAGAUGGGCACGCGCAAGAUUAGCUAGUGGGUGAGGUAACGGCUCACCAAGGCGAUGAUCUUUAGGGGGCCUGAGAGGGUGAUCCCCCACACUGGUGCUGAGACACGGACCAGACUCCUACGGGAGGCAGCAGAGAGGAAUAUUGGUCAAUGGGUGCAAGCCUGAACCAGCCAUCCCGCGGGAAGGACGACUGCCCUAUGGGUUGUAAACUUCUUUUGUAUAGGGAUAAACCUACCCUCGUGAGGGUAGCUGAAGGUACUAUACGAAUAAGCACCGGCUAACUCCGUGACAGCAGCCGCCGUAA